rnacentral:lncRNA from 1 species
AGCCGGUGCAUUUAUUCAUGUCUAUCACACUAUAUGAAGUAGUUCGUCCCAUAUACUUGCAUCACAGGUCGUCACUAAGCUGCAGUCACAGCAAUCUUCAUCCCCGCCUGGCAGUGCCCCGCGAAGUUGCAGAUGAAGUAGUUCGUCCCCUUACGCAGCCUGAUGCGGUCGUUCCCGGUCUUGGACACCCUCGACCCCCUCGGCGUCGUGCACCUACUGUAGCCGGCGGCGUUCACCGCC